CUAGUGGGAGAUAGUCACAAGCCACAUAUAUCUGACAAAGGACAUGUAUCCAGAACAUGUUUUGAAAACUUCCUACAAGUCAAUAUAAAAGACAAAUGAUGGCAUUGUGAAAAGGGCAAAAGAUUUAAACAGGCUCUUUAUAAAGGAGGAUAUAAAAAGCAGAUAAUACCCAUAUGAAAAGCUCUCAACUUCCCUUCCUCUUCCUCCCACACCUUCUUCAGCCACAGGUAUCAGGUAAGUGUGCAUGGAGGGGAGUAGGGGGAUAGAAUCACUCACUCAUUGUAUUAGGGUUUCCAAAGAAAUGGAACACAUAGUGUGUGUGUGUGUGUGUGUUUAGAGAGAAAGAGAUUAAGGAAUUGGCUCUUGUGACUGUGGAGGUUUGGGAGUCUAUGAUCUGCAGGGAAGGCUGGCAGACUGGAGCCCCCGAGAAGAGCUGAUGUUGUAGCUCAGGUCUGAAGGCCGUCUGGAGGCGGAAUCUGCUCUUUCUCAGGGGAGGUCAGUCUUUUUUCUCUUAGGGCCGAGAUCGGAAGAGCA